UACAGAGGGUGCGAGCGUUAAUCGGAAUUACUGGGCGUAAAGCGUGCGUAGACGGUUACGUAAGUCGGAUGUGAAAGCCCCGGGCUCAACCUGGGAAUUGCAUUCGAGACUGCGUAGCUAGGAUGCGGAAGAGGGAAGCGGAAUUUCCGGUGUAGCGGUGAAAUGCGUAGAUAUCGGAAGGAACACCAGUGGCGAAGGCGGCUCACUGGCCCGGAACUGACGCUGAGACGCGAAAGCGUGGGGAGCAAACAGG
rnacentral:rRNA from 1 species